CAGUGGGGAAUUUUGGACAAUGGGGGAAACCCUGAUCCAGCCAUCCCGCGUGUGCGAUGAAGGCCUUCGGGUUGUAAAGCACUUUUGGCAGGAAAGAAACGUCGCGGGCUAAUACCUCACGGAACUGACGGUACCUGCAGAAUAAGCACCGGCUAACUACGUGCCAGCAGCAGCGGUAAUCAGUAGGGUGCAAGCGUUAAUCGGAAUUACUGGGCGUAAAGCGUGCGCAGGCGGUUCGGAAAGAAAGAUGUGAAAUCCCAGAGCUUAACUUUGGAACUGCAUUUUUAACUACCGGGCUAGAGUGUGUCAGAGUGAGGUGGAAUUCCGCGUGUAGCAGUGAAAUGCGUAGAUAUGCGGAGGAACACCGAUGGCGAAGGCAGCCUCCUGGGAUAACACUGAUGCUCAUGCACGAAAGCGUGGGGAGCAAACAGGAGUAGA
rnacentral:rRNA from 1 species